rnacentral:rRNA from 1 species
GACGAACGCUGGCGGCGUGCUUAACACAUGCAAGUCGAACGGAAAGGCCCUGCUUUUGUGGGGUGCUCGAGUGGCGAACGGGUGAGUAACACGUGAGUAACCUGCCCUUGACUUUGGGAUAACUUCAGGAAACUGGGGCUAAUACCGGAUAGGAGCUCCUGCUGCAUGGUGGGGGUUGGAAAGUUUCGGCGGUUGGGGAUGGACUCGCGGCGUAUCAGCUUGUUGGUGGGGUAGUGGCUUACCAAGGCUUUGACGGGUAGCCGGCCUGAGAGGGUGACCGGCCACAUUGGGACUGGGAUGCGGCCCAGACUCCUACGGGAGGCAGCAGUGGGGAAUAUUGCACAAUGGGCGGAAGCCUGAUGCAGCAACGCCGCGUGCGGGAUGACGGCCUUCGGGUUGUAAACCGCUUUCGCCUGUGACGAAGCGUGAGUGACGGUAAUGGGUAAAGAAGCACCGGCUAACUACGUG